GACGAACGCUGGCGGCGUGCCUAAUACAUGCAAGUCGAACGCACUCUCGUUUAGAUUGAAGGAGCUUGCUCCUGAUUGAUAACAUUUGAGUGAGUGGCGGACGGGUGAGUAACACGUGGGUAACCUGCCCUAAAGUGGGGGAUAACAUUUGGAAACAGAUGCUAAUACCGCAUAAAACCUAACACCGCAUGGUGUAGGGUUGAAAGAUGGUUUCGGCUAUCACUUUAGGAUGGACCGCGGUGCAUUAGUUAGUUGUGAGGUAAAGGCUCACCAAGACCGUGAUGCAUAGCCGACCUGAGAGGGGUAAUCGGCCACACUGGGACUGAGACACGGCCCAGACUCCUAC
rnacentral:rRNA from 1 species